rnacentral:miRNA from 1 species
UCUAUAAAUAGGUAUGUGCAUAUAUGUGUGUACAUGUAUACCAUAUAUACAUACACACAUACGCACAUGUCACAUGCUUA